rnacentral:rRNA from 1 species
GGUUAAGCGACUAAGCGUACACGGUGGAUGCCCUGGCAGUCAGAGGCGAUGAAGGACGUGCUAAUCUGCGAAAAGCGUCGGUAAGGUGAUAUGAACCGUUAUAACCGGCGAUGUCCGAAUGGGGAAACCCAGUGUGAUUCGUCACACUAUCGUUAACUGAAUACAUAGGUUAACGAGGCGAACCGGGGGAACUGAAACAUCUAAGUACCCCGAGGAAAAGAAAUCAACCGAGAUUCCCCCAGUAGCGGCGAGCGAACGGGGAGCAGCCCAGAGUCUGAAUCAGCUUGUGUGUUAGUGGAACGGUCUGGAAAGUCCGACGGUACAGGGUGAUAGUCCCGUACACCAAAAUGCACAGGCUGUGAACUCGAAGAGUAGGGCGGGACACGUGGUAUCCUGUCUGAAUAUGGGGGGACCAUCCUCCAAGGCUAAAUACUCCUGACUGACCGAUAGUGAACCAGUACCGUGAGGGAAAGGCGAAAAGAACCCCGGCGAGGGGAGUGAAAAAGAACCUGAAACCGUGUACGUACAAGCAGUGGGAGCACCUUCGGGUGUGACUGCGUACCUUUUGUAUAAUGGGUCAGCGACUUAUAUUCUGUAGCAAGGUUAACCGUAUAGGGGAGCCGCAGGGAAACCGAGUCUUAACUGGGCGUUAAGUUGCAGGGUAUAGACCCGAAACCCGGUGAUCUAGCCAUGGGCAGGUUGAAGGUUGGGUAACACUAACUGGAGGACCGAACCGACUAAUGUUGAAAAAUUAGCGGAUGACUUGUGGCUGGGGGUGAAAGGCCAAUCAAACCGGGAGAUAGCUGGUUCUCCCCGAAAGCUAUUUAGGUAGCGCCUCGUGAAUUCAUCUUCGGGGGUAGAGCACUGUUUCGGCUAGGGGGUCAUCCCGACUUACCAACCCGAUGCAAACUACGAAUACCGAAGAAUGUUAUCACGGGAGACACACGGCGGGUGCUAACGUCCGUCGUGAAGAGGGAAACAACCCAGACCGCCAGCUAAGGUCCCAAAGUCAUGGUUAAGUGGGAAACGAUGUGGGAAGGCACAGACAGCCAGGAUGUUGGCUUAGAAGCAGCCAUCAUUUAAAGAAAGCGUAAUAGCUCACUGGUCGAGUCGGCCUGCGCGGAAGAUGUAACGGGGCUAAACCAUGCACCGAAGCUGCGGCAGCGACACUAUGUGUUGUUGGGUAGGGGAGCGUUCUGUAAGCCUGCGAAGGUGACCUGUGAGGGUUGCUGGAGGUAUCAGAAGUGCGAAUGCUGACAUAAGUAACGAUAAAGCGGGUGAAAAGCCCGCUCGCCGGAAGACCAAGGGUUCCUGUCCAACGUUAAUCGGGGCAGGGUGAGUCGACCCCUAAGGCGAGGCCGAAAGGCGUAGUCGAUGGGAAACAGGUUAAUAUUCCUGUACUUGGUGUUACUGCGAAGGGGGGACGGAGAAGGCUAUGUUAGCCGGGCGACGGUUGUCCCGGUUUAAGCAUGUAGGCUGAUUAUCCAGGCAAAUCCGGAUAAUCAAGGCUGAGGUGUGAUGACGAGGCACUACGGUGCUGAAGUAACAAAUGCCCUGCUUCCAGGAAAAGCCUCUAAGCAUCAGGUAACAUCAAAUCGUACCCCAAACCGACACAGGUGGUCAGGUAGAGAAUACCAAGGCGCUUGAGAGAACUCGGGUGAAGGAACUAGGCAAAAUGGUGCCGUAACUUCGGGAGAAGGCACGCUGGUGUGUAGGUGAAGUCCCUGCGGAUGGAGCUGAGACCAGUCGAAGAUACCAGCUGGCUGCAACUGUUUAUUAAAAACACAGCACUGUGCAAACACGAAAGUGGACGUAUACGGUGUGACGCCUGCCCGGUGCCGGAAGGUUAAUUGAUGGGGUUAUCCGUAAGGAGAAGCUCUUGAUCGAAGCCCCGGUAAACGGCGGCCGUAACUAUAACGGUCCUAAGGUAGCGAAAUUCCUUGUCGGGUAAGUUCCGACCUGCACGAAUGGCGUAAUGAUGGCCAGGCUGUCUCCACCCGAGACUCAGUGAAAUUGAACUCGCUGUGAAGAUGCAGUGUACCCGCGGCAAGACGGAAAGACCCCGUGAACCUUUACUAUAGCUUGACACUGAACAUUGAGCCUUGAUGUGUAGGAUAGGUGGGAGGCUUUGAAGCGUGGACGCCAGUCUGCGUGGAGCCAACCUUGAAAUACCACCCUUUAAUGUUUGAUGUUCUAACGUUGGCCCCUUACCGGGGUUGCGGACAGUGUCUGGUGGGUAGUUUGACUGGGGCGGUCUCCUCCCAAAGCGUAACGGAGGAGCACGAAGGUUAGCUAAUCCUGGUCGGACAUCAGGAGGUUAGUGCAAUGGCAUAAGCUAGCUUGACUGCGAGCGUGACGGCGCGAGCAGGUGCGAAAGCAGGUCAUAGUGAUCCGGUGGUUCUGAAUGGAAGGGCCAUCGCUCAACGGAUAAAAGGUACUCCGGGGAUAACAGGCUGAUACCGCCCAAGAGUUCAUAUCGACGGCGGUGUUUGGCACCUCGAUGUCGGCUCAUCACAUCCUGGGGCUGAAGUAGGUCCCAAGGGUAUGGCUGUUCGCCAUUUAAAGUGGUACGCGAGCUGGGUUUAGAACGUCGUGAGACAGUUCGGUCCCUAUCUGCCGUGGGCGCUGGAGAAUUGAGGGGGGCUGCUCCUAGUACGAGAGGACCGGAGUGGACGCAUCACUGGUGUUCGGGUUGUCAUGCCAAUGGCACUGCCCGGUAGCUAAAUGCGGAAGAGAUAAGUGCUGAAAGCAUCUAAGCACGAAACUUGCCCCGAGAUGAGUUCUCCCUGAGACUUUAAGUCUCCUGAAGGAACGUUGAAGACGACGACGUUGAUAGGCCGGGUGUGUAAGCGCAGCGAUGCGUUGAGCUAACCGGUACUAAUGAACCGUGAGGCUUAACCUU